GGACGCCCAAUUUGACUUCACUGUUGUGAGUAGACAUAGAUGACAAGAUGUGUGUGUGUUGCUUAUAAAAAAAAAUAUUAAUGCAAGUUAUUAUGUUUAGCAUGACAUGUUGAUGCUACGCAAGUGGUGGUGCGUAAUGUUAAUGGAGACAUUUGAGGUAGAAGGGUAAGAUCACAUCUUUAUACUUAAUUUAUAAUUUUUGCUAACAAUGUACUUAAUUAUUGGCAACCAAUAUGAAUCUUUUUUUAAGCUACGGGAAGAGAUUUGCCCACUGGACGGACAAUGCAAAAGCCCUUCUGAAUGGACAGUUACAACCCAUCUUCCGUGUUGGAGAACAUGUGUACAGCCAGGAACUUCCACCACCAGUACAGAGGGAACAAGAAAGAAAAUAUACACACCACCACUGUCUUGCGCAAGACAUUAACGCCUGUGUUUACCAAAGGAUACGAAACAAGUAAUAAAACAAUCAUUUGCAUAAACAAUGUACCAGUUUAGGGGUUACAUAUAUGGAUUUAAAAUGUGGUGUUUUUGUAUUUAUAUAGAUUAAUGUAUCCAGAAGUGCAGCCCGUCAAGUGGGUCCAGUGUCAGUUCUGUGGCGGUCAGUUGCACAGUGACUGUGCAGGAGUGGAAACAUUGAAAGAAGACACAUUUAGCUGUGGAUGUCACCAACCAGUGCCUUAUCCAUAUAAAAUGUUUAUUUUAUACACACAUUAAACCCAUUUUCUUUGGUUGUAUUAGACUUGCAUUAAACGCAUAAAUAAAUAUGUUUCUGUCUCCA
rnacentral:lncRNA from 1 species